AAGAAAGAGAGAAGGGAGGCACAGAAAGGGAAAUGAAGAAACACCCAUCACAUCGGUCCUCACCAAUUCUGAGAACCUACCGGACAGAUACGUGGCAGAAACUGCUUGGGCGUCGAGGGUGGCGCCUCGCCCUCGCCGGCAGCUCCGCACGCUGAGGCACCAGGCAGGGGGGGCGGCUCUCCACACCGGUCCAGAAGGGGAGGCAGGACCCUAGAUCCACCCCAGGGGACGACGCAGCACAGACAGAUGGAACCGGGCCCAUGCUCUUUGCUGGAACUGGAUUUGGAACACUUCGUCCACGUGCCUUUUCACCCUCUUUCCUCUGUGCGGUCGGAGUCGGGAGCGUGGGGUCGCAGACCACGCUCCGCUCCGCCCUGUGCGUCUCUGUUCCGGGGAGAGGAGAAAAGCUUGCCUGUAACUACCGGUGACCGAAGGUUAAGCACCCAGGGAGAUCCCAUGUCUCCCCAAACCAAAACCUAUGGCUUUGCAUGUGAUUAAGUGAUCGCACAGGCCGAAGACCCCUGUGAAGCCAUCUGUCACUUCAGGGUUCUGAGAGUGGAAGUUCUACGUAACAGAUUGUUCUGGAGCAUUGAGGGAGCAUUACUGAGACACUGCUUUCCCCAGUUCACUAGCUAAAGGGACCGGAAUGCAAGCUGUCUUCUCCCUUGAGUCUUGAGGGCGCUGGGAAAGAAAUAUUAAACCCAGUUCCUUUUCAGGAUCGACAGACGAGGAACAGUGAGAGGGGGCAUGCUCGGACUUUGGUGUAGGUACUUGUGAAUGACCAUGACUUCCAAGCCUCGCUGUCUCCUGUUGUGUCUUGCUUUUUCCCAAAGAAAAAGCCGGUCUGUUUCCAGAGCUGGUGAGCAAAGGGCCUAACCAGUGCCCUGGAGUUGUCCUGGGGCAGAGGCAGGCAGGGACAGAGGCAGGCGGGGACGUCUGGGGCCCCAGCCCCGGGCCUUCUGACGGACGGACGGACGGACGCCCUCGGUGUGUGAGUCGGAAGGACUCAGGAAGUUCUGAACGUGGUUGUUGUUGUGUAGUGUGCUGCCUGUAAAACGUAACCAUCUUUUAAAUUCAAAUACAUGAGAUCUUCGCAUCCUUUUAUCAGAGUCUCCUAAGAAGGGAUUUUGAUGUGAAAUCUCACAAAGUCUGAGCUCAAACGGACCCUGAACAAUGAGAAGUCGAGAGUUUUCUCAGAAAACUGGUCGAAUAAAGAUUCUUACACCUUUUUUUUUUAGAAAUCCUUGAAAUUGAUCAAUUAUUA